GAUGAACGCUGCGGCGUGCCUAACACAUGCAAGUCGAGCGAUCUUCUUCGGAAGAGAGCGGCGGACGGGUGAGUAACGCGUGGGUAACCUGCCCUGUACACACGGAUAACAUACCGAAAGGUAUGCUAAUACGAGAUAAUAUGCUUUUAUCGCAUGGUAGAAGUAUCAAAGCUCCGGCGGUACAGGAUGGACCCGCGUCUGAUUAGCUAGUUGGUAAGGUAAUGGCUUACCAAGGCGACGAUCAGUAGCCGACCUGAGAGGGUGAUCGGCCACAUUGGAACUGAGACACGGUCCAAACUCCUACGGGAGGCAGCAGUGGGGAAUAUUGCACAAUGGGCGAAAGCCUGAUGCAGCAACGCCGCGUGAGCGAUGAAGGCCUUCGGGUCGUAAAGCUCUGUCCUCAUGGAAGAUAAUGACGGUACUUGAGAAGGAAGCCCCGGCUAACUACGUGCCAGCCGCCGCAGUAA
rnacentral:rRNA from 1 species